rnacentral:snoRNA from 1 species
AUCCUCUUUGGUUCCUAAGUGUGAUGAUUGGGUGUUCUCACUACUGUGUGAGAUGUGGCCCCCUCCAAACCUAGGCACAUUACCCAUCUGAUG